UGCUCAGUAACACGUGGACAACGUACCCUAAAGUGGAGCAUAAUCUCGGGAAACUGAGGAUAAUUCUCCAUAGACCAUGAGAUCUGGAAUGACUUAUGGUUCAAAGUUCCGGCGCUUUAGGAUCGGUCUGCGGCCUAUCAGGUAGUAGUGGGUGUAACGUACCCCCUAGCCGUUGACGGGUAUGGGCCUUGAGAGAGGGAGCCCAGAGUUGGAUUCUGAGACACGAAUCCAGGCCCUACGGGGCGCAGCAGUCGCGAAAACUUCACAAUGGGCGAAAGCCCGAUGAGGGAAUUCCUAGUGCUAGCACUUUUGUGCUAGCUUUUCUUCAGCGUAGAUAACUGGAGGAAUAAGGGCUGGGUAAGACGGGUGCCAGCCGCCGCGGUAAUACCCGCAGCCCGAGUGGUGGUCGAUUUUAUUGAGUCUAAAACGUUCGUAGCCGGUCUAAUAAAUCCUUGGGUAAAUCGGAAGGCUUAACUUUCCGAAUUCCGAGGAGACUGUUAGGCUUGGGAUCGGGAGAGGUAAGAGGUACUUCAGGGGUAGGGGUAAAAUCCUGUAAUCCUUGGAGGACCACCGGUGGCGAAGGCGUCUUACUAGAACGAAUCCGACGGUGAGGGACGAAGCCCUAGGUCGCAAACGGGAUUAGAUACCCCGGUAGUCUAGGGUGUAAACGCUGCAGACUUGGUGUUGGGGGCCCUUCGGGGGUGUUCAGUGCCGGAGAGAAGUUGUUAAGUCUGCUACUUGGGGAGUACGUCCGCAAGGAUGAAACUUAAAGGAAUUGGCGGGGGAGCACCGCAACGGGAGGAACGUGCGGUUUAAUUGGAUUCAACACCAGAAAACUCACCAGUGGCGACUAUUACAUGAAAGUCAGGCUGAUGACCUUACUAGAUUUUUA
rnacentral:rRNA from 1 species